GAUCAUGGUAAAACGCCAAGGAACACUUGCAAACAAAAUCUAACUAUUAUUAUAUAGAAUGGAUACACCAAGCAAGUCAAACACAGCACGACAAAAUGAACAUAUUUCCAGGUUCCAGGCUCAGGCUACCGCCUUAAUUUGCAGGCCAAAUUAAUGUUUGCUUUGCCUCUCCAUAGCCUUUUGGGUUGGCAACGACAGAAACUGGAACGUGGAAUGGAGACCCUUUGUCCCUUUUAAAAUCUUUCAAUUUGUCUUGAAAUAAAAUUAUGAAAAUAAAAGAAUAUAUAAAACCUGAAGAAGGUUGAUGCAGUAAGUUGACCACAACAUGGUUCUUAAUUAUUAGAGUUCUUUACAUAAUAAGUAAUAAGGUUCUUCACAUCAACCCAUUUUCUUGAUGAAACCCAUUCCCUUUGGCUUCUUUAUCCCAAUAAUCCUCCUUCAUAUGAUACUCAAACUUCCCAAUCACACUCUCCGGCAGCGACAAAAGCACGGUGACCGCUUCAGCAUCGCCGAUAACCGGUAAAAACAAGCAGUAUAUAUCACUCGUCAGAGGACCCAUAUGCAAUGGCUUCCCAGCUUCUCCAAAUUCCAAAUCUUCUAAUCCUAACUUGGACCACUGCGAGAUAACCAAACUUGCAGAAAGGUCUGUUUUUACCGUUUUAUCCUCCAACAAAUCAAUCAUGGACCUCACAUAGUCAUCACUUAAACUUGAUUUAGCUUGCUGAACCAACUUGAUCCCAUGGUGCAGAUUAUUAGAGACCAAAUCCUUAACAAAAGUCUGAGCACACCCUAGCACAAAUCCAUUCCCAUAAUACCCUUGUGGCAUUUCUGGUAUUAACUUUUUCCUGACGUUAACUGAGAAAAGGAGCUUAACGUUGAGAGCAGAUGGCAAGUCAAGUGAUCUAACCCAAGAGCGCCAUGUGUGCGAUGCCAAUGUUUCGAAGGUAGUGCAUUUGAGGGAGGGGACGCACUGCCUCUUGAGGUGGAGGAUAUGAGAAGUGGUGAAGGUUAAGGAGGUGGGCACGAGUGGCUGAGACUGUGAAAAGUGGUUAAGACCCAAGGGUUCGCCGUCUUUACGAGGGGCAUUUCUGACAUAACUGGGAUGUGGGAAGGUUACUUGCGGGGGAUUUCGGGGUUUUAGCACGUAUCGGGUGUGAACCGGCAACGGUAGGAUUGGGAGAUCAAGAUUCGGUUUUGUGGUGAUAUGAGCCCACGCUUGUAAGAACUGGGAAGUGCCUAUGCCGUCACAUAGACAGUGAUUAAUCCCGGUGCAUAGAAUCAUUCCUCCGCACCGUAGAUUCGUCAACUGAACUACGAGAGGAGGAAUAUCCAAGAAGCUCUGGGCUUCCACUCUAUACAAAAGUUUUCUCCAAGACCUGUUUGGUUUCCUGGAAUGUUCAAGAAACUGUUCAGCUGUAAUAUCCAUGAAAGCUUCAGCGAAGACCGCACCUUCUCCAUUGCAAUCAACCUCAAGCUUCUGAUCGUCUUCUUUGCUGGUUCUCAACCUCCCGGCUAAUGGGUAGUAGUCCACAAGAACUUUAGAGAGUGAAUAUUUCAAGAUAUCUAAGCUCACAGAUUUUUUAAAAAGGUAGAGAUAUUUAAUGGAGAAUCUAAGAAACUUUUGAUCAUCAAGAUUAGAGAGAUAAAGAGAAUGGUUUCCGGUAGGGAUGGAAGGGGAGAUUAGAACUGGUUGGCCAUGAUAGAAACAAUCAGGAAGUUCUGGAGAGUUGAACAUGUUUGCCAGUUCUUGUUCUUCAGAAGUUGAGAGAGAGAGAGAGAGA
rnacentral:misc_RNA from 1 species